AAGACUGUACUUUCUGGGAUCAUUUCUAUAGUUUGUUAAUAAUUUAAGUGGAAUAACAUUGGGGCAAGACGUAGUAUUAGGCUCAGCACCC
rnacentral:snoRNA from 1 species